UCGCAGAGGCUCCAGCAGAGCUCAGAGCUCUCCAGCUGAACUCUUAUCUCCAACUUGGCAACUAGACUGGGAGCUCACGAAGCAAGGAGAGAACAGGGCUGGUCACCCAGCAGGAACCUUCUGUGCACCAGCAAUGGGCCUGGCGUGUUCCCAUUCAUCAUCUCAUUUAAUUCCCUGGACAUCCCUGUGAGGUCGGGUUACCAAAGGCACUGCUGGUCAGCUCUGGAAACCUGAUCUUUUUUUGUCAACUAGACCACAUGCUUCAUAUUCCCUGAAAAGAGAAAAGGAAAAAGAUUUCAAAUUCAGGUUUUCUAGCAAUGGGUAGCAGCCUGAGAAAAAUUCUAAAAGGCAACACAGGCUGGAUCCCAGGAAGACAGGCCAGCAAGGAAAACCUCAAUGCAUAGAGAGACUGAGACUGUACUGCAUGUGAGUAAAGCAGACAUCUGGAGUCCUUUUGCUGCUUUUUCCAUUUUCCUACUUUGAAUCACAAUGAGUAUAAGAAACAGUUUCCUUUUUGCUCAAUUCUAUUACAAGAGAAAACAAAACCCAGUGUAAGUGGGAUGGUAGGUGGAAACUCACAGUUGGCUUUUAGU